CAGCCGCCGCGGUAAGACAGAGGAUGCAAGCGUUAUCCGGAAUGAUUGGGCGUAAAGCGUCUGUAGGUGGCUUUUCAAGUCCGCCGUCAAAUCCCAGGGCUCAACCCUGGACAGGCGGCGGAAACUACCAAGAUGGAGUACGGUAGGGGCAGAGGGAAUUUCCGGUGGAGCGAUGAAAUGCGUUGAGAUCGGAAAGAACACCAACGGUGAAAGCACUCUGCUGGGCCGACACUGACACUGAGAGACGAAAGUUAGGGGAGAAAAUGGGAUUAGAUACCCCCGUAGUCCCUGUCUCUUAUAC
rnacentral:rRNA from 1 species